GUGGUGAUUUAAUUAAAAAUAAAUCAAGUUAACGCAUGGAUAUUUCUAGUUAUGAAGUUAAUCGAUGAUGCAUCUAGACUCUAGAAUGCAUUUGAUGGUGGGUUCCAACUUCCAUUCUUCGUCAUUAUGAAUAAUCUAUAAGACAUGUAGGAGGAAGAGGAUUGGUAGCAAAAAAAAAUCCAACUCGUUACUUUCCUUGAUGCUGAAAAAUUUACAGAAUAAUAUGAUGUUAUAUGAUAGAUGAUGUUGAAUAGCAUUUUCUGUUGGUUUUAUUGAUGAAGAGUUGGACAGGUCUUCAAAUAUGUGAUAUGAGAUUCAUGAUUAAUAGAAGCACUGUAUUGGAAUUUCAUCUGAAUGUGCUAUGUCCUGCACAUACAUCAUGACAUUCCCUAGUGGUUGAUGGCUACUGUAACUAAUGACAUCAAGUUGACUAACGGCGGAUUUCGAUCGAACUGUAUUAUGCAGUAUAUGUACAUAUAAACGAGGAUGUCUCGUAGGGAUAUAUGCCAUGAUUUACUGAAGUUCCCUUCGCUUAAUUGUGAUGAGGAAACUCUGAAGUUUGUAUCAAACUAUUAUGACUAUCAACUGCGUCAUAUCAGACUUCUCAACUUUAGACUACAUGAUGCAAUGGAUAGAUACAAAAUAAAAUUAAGGUGAAACAAAACCUUGAUUAUGACGAAAUCAUCAGAUGCAUGUGGACUUGACAUUACCACUACUCUUUUAAUAUGUAUUAAAUUACCAACAAAAAAAACCUGUUUGUAUCAAUCAUCAUUCAGAUUCAUUGAAGAAUAUUUACAAGUACCUUCUACCGAUCAUUAACAUGGUAUAUAUUUGGUUACAUGUUAAUAA